rnacentral:lncRNA from 1 species
UAGACUGUGAUCCAAGAGAGGAGCCAAUUUGGUGGUAAGAUCCUAAUAAUAUUCCCUCCAUAUUCCCCAGGCUUCCAUAUUUCUUCCUUGCUCUGUGUGAUGCAACUCAGACCAUUCCGGAGUUGUGGAAGUCACAAGGUGAGAACCACAUUGACCAAUGCUACGUUCUUUGGUUUAGAAACAUGUAGACAUAGAAUAGUUUGAGUAUAUGCAGAUUUAUAGGCUGACAGUUUGUUUGGAAGUUCAUUUGUUUGAAGAAGUCCUACAUCCCUGUGUUUGGUUGCCCAGAAACCUAAAGUAAAGGAUAUAUGAUUUGCAGUGCACAUAUUUUCUUUUUCUCUGGUUUUUAACAACCAGACCAAGGAAGGAUCAUUCAAUCGUGUUUAGGGUUGUGUAAUUAGGAUUUACAAAAGAAUUAAAGGAUGCGGCAGAUGGAUUUUUAUUAUUGGAUAGUCUUAGAGGGUAGCUUUCUUGAAUUACAUUGUGAAUUUUUACAAGAUCAUGUUCGUUACCUUCUCUGUUCUUUUGUGCAUAUGUUCUAUCUCAAAGAUAAGCAAACAGUAGCAGUCCAACCUAGUCCACACUGAUCAGAGGUUUUUCCAGUGUUCUGUCUCUCAUCUAAGCUCUGCAACGAUCUUGCACACCCACCUGGAUUGUGUUAGCCGCUGACCAGUCAUCAGGGCUAAGUUUCACACAAUCAAAAGGUGAAGCCUCUGAAGCACCAAACACUUCUCUACUGACAGCUAAGUUGUUGUCAAUUGCAACAUCAUAGUCUCAUUUUGUUUUGAGUGUUCUGCUUUCCCAUAUAAGUGGAGUCUCGUUAUAUCUUCUGCAUACUCGGAUUAGACUAAAGGCUUACGUAACAGUUGGUGGAUUCAAUCUAGGAGCUUGACUGAAAUUGCAAAUUGAUAUUUUAGUUUUGGGCUUUAGCUUAGUAUUUGUUACUUAGUCAUUAAAGACUGCAAUCCAAACACCAAGUUGGAGCUAAUUCAGUUGUCUUUCCUCUCAAGCAUGAGUUAUGCAUGUUAAAAGGGCAUAAAAUUUACCCUUUUAGGCUAAACAGGAAGAAGAAAUCAAGCAAACUCCUCAAAAAAUUUAACAAGGAAAUAUCAAAUUAUUUACAUUUCAUCUAAAUCACCAUAUAUUCAUGUAUGUGUUCCUAUAUUACAAGGAUGCUUCAAUAAAAUCAGUACACCUGUACAUGAAGACCUUAACAAAUUCCAUCUAAAACAAAGAAUCAUCUUCAUGACAACAAAUCCUCCUAACAACCCAUCUUCAGGGAAAAAAUAUAUAAAAAUACCACUGACUCAGACAUGCUAGAUAUUUGAUUUUUGUGUUCUUUUCUGAGCAGAUUUUCAGAAACCUUUCCAGGCAGUGAGGACUUCAUGGAAGACUUCAGCAAUCAGGUCCCUAUCUGCACACUGCAGAAAGGCAUUGAAAUCAUCUCGAAUGUCAAAUAUCUU